ACGGAAGGCAGCAGUGGGGGAUAUUGGGCAAUGGGGGAAACCCUGACCCAGCAACGCCGCGUGAAGGAAGAAGGCUUUCGGGUUGUAAACUUCUUUUACCAGGGACGAAGGACGUGACGGUACCUGGAGAAAAAGCCACGGCUAACUACGUGCCAGCAGCCGCGGUAAUACGUAGGUGGCAAGCGUUGUCCGGAUUUACUAGGUGUAAAGGGCGUGUAGGCGGAGAUGCAAGUCAGAAGUGAAAUCUAGGGGCUCAACCCCUAAACUGCUUUUGAAACUGUAUCCCUUGAGUAUCGGAGAGGCAGGCGGAAUUCCCAGUGUAGCGGUGAAAUGCGUAGGUAUCAGGAGGAACACCGGUGGCGAAGGCGGCCUGCUGGACUGUAACUGACGCUGAGGCUCGAAAGCGUGGGGAGCAAACAGGAUUAGAUACCCUGGUA
rnacentral:rRNA from 1 species